rnacentral:rRNA from 1 species
UACGUAGGCAGCGAGCGUUGUCCGGAAUCAUUGGGCGUAAAGCGCGUGUAGGCGGUCCGGUAAGUCCGCUGUGAAAGUCGGGGGCUCAACCCUCGGAUGCCGGUGGAUACUGUCGGGCUUGAGUACGGAAGAGGCGAGUGGAAUUCCCGGUGUAGUGGUGAAAUGCGUAGAUAUCGGGAGGAACACCAGUGGCGAAGGCGACUACCUGGCCUGUUCUUGACGCUGAGGCGCGAAAGCUGGGGGAGCAAACGGGG